rnacentral:rRNA from 1 species
UAGGGAAUCUUCCACAAUGGACGCAAGUCUGAUGGAGCAACGCCGCGUGAGUGAAGAAGGCUUUCGGGUCGUAAAACUCUGUUAUUGAAGAAGAACGUGUGUGACAGUAACUGGUCAUGCAGUGACGGUAUUCAAUCAGAAAGUCACGGCUAACUACGUGCCAGCAGCCGCGGUAAUACGUAGGUGGCAAGCGUUGUCCGGAUUUAUUGGGCGUAAAGCGAGUGCAGGCGGUCUUUUAAGUCUGAUGUGAAAGCCUUCGGCUUAACCGAAGAAGGGCAUCGGAAACUGGGAGACUUGAGUGCAGAAGAGGAGAGUGGAACUCCAUGUGUAGCGGUGAAAUGCGUAGAUAUAUGGAAGAACACCAGUGGCGAAGGCGGCUCUCUGGUCUGUAACUGACGCUGAGGCUCGAAAGCGUGGGUAGCAAACAGGAUUAGAUACCCUGGUAGUCCGCGCCGUAAACGAUGAAUACUAAGUGUUGGAGGGUUUCCGCCCUUCAGUGCUGCAGCUAACGCAUUAAGUAUUCCGCCUGGGGAGUACGACCGCAAGGUUGAAAC